GAGGUGGAAGCGUGGCGACACGUGGAGCUGACGAAUACUAAUCGAUCGAGGACUUAACCAAA
rnacentral:rRNA from 1 species